UGUCCAAGCGCCUAGCCUACAUACUGAAACCCAAGGACGUCACCGCGGAGCAGACUGAUUCCUAUUCAAAAACAGAAUUACCUGGAAAAACUCAGCAGGUCUGGCAGCAUCGGCGGAGAAGAAAAGAGUUGACGUUUCGAGUCCUCAUGACCCUUCAACAGAACUGAAAUCUCUGUGAUUCCUAUUGGCUGAUUCCUUUCUGGACGUCACAAUGCGGAAGUUGGACAAUGAGCUUCAGACUAAAACUUCCUCCUCUGGGCAACAUCUCUGAGGAAAUCAAUGUUUCCCCCUUUCCAUUUCUUUUCUGAUUCUGGGGGGAAAAUUGUUGACUUGCAGGAACUGAAGGGAAAGGAAGUGAAUCUAGGGAGGGUGCAGACUCUGGACAACCUGUGGGAACCUGAUCCUGGGAGUCUCCAGGGUGAGUUUGAGUGAUUCGAGUGGGACGGUAAGUGAGCAAGUCGGCCAGCAGAGAGACGAUGAUGUUGCGACAGAACAAGAUAAGUUAUAUUAGAAGGGGAGGAUUUUCAGCCUGAAACCUCAAACCAAACAUUGUGUCAAGAUCUGAUAGAGUCAUCCAAUUCAUCAGGACCUGAUUAUCAUCGGCUGUUGAAUCCGUUAGGAGAAAUGUUUGUCUGUACUGUUGCUUCAAAAUGUUUUCCUCAUAAGUGUGACUGGGUAAACACCGAGACACACGCACCUGACUGAGUGUUCCAGUGAAAUGAGUGUGGAACGAGCUUUAACUAGUUACACAGUCUGAAAAUAUAUCACCCAAUUCACAGUGGGGUGAGGCUGUGCAUGUGUUCUGUGUGAGGACGAGGCUUCAACUGAUCAUCAAACCUGGAGAGUCACAAGGAUGCCUGUAUCAUGGAGAAGCUGUGGAAAUGUGGGGACUGUUGGAAGGGUUUCUGGUUCCUGUCUGCGCUGGAAACUCAUUUACGCAUUCACACUGGGGAGAGGCCAUUCAAUUGCUCCAUGUGUGGGAAAGAAUUCACUGAUUCAUCCACCCUUUGGAAACACCAGCAUGUUCACAGCGGGGAGAGGCCGUUCACCUGCUCUGAAUGUGGGAAGGGAUUCACUGAUUCAUCCAACCUGCUGAAACACCAGCAAGUUCACACCGGGAGAGACCAUUCACCUGCCCUGAGUGUGGGAAGGGAUUCACUCAGUUCUCGAGCCUGCGGAAAUACCAGUGAGCUCACACUGGGGAGAAGCCAUUCAACUGCUCUGAGUAUGGGAACGGAUUCUCUCAGUCACCACACCUGCUGAGACACCAGCGAGUUCACAAGUGACUACAGGGGUUGGAUUCUGCUGUUAUUGCUGCUAUUAAUCACAUCCAGAGCUGAACCAUGUUCAUUCUGACAGUUGGUGAAGUGGGAGGGUCAGAGGGUUUCUUUCUGCUGCACUGGCCAGUCUCAUGACUUUGCUUCCAGUGGGCUGAUGCUCUUUGAGCCUGGAAGUGCAUAUUUCCACUGAAAUGAUCCACAAAAGCUGAUGAAGCACAUUUAUUUAAUCCUGGUAGUAAAUAGUGUUUUUCUCACCACUACAGGUAGAUCUGAAAUAAAUGCAUUUGUCUCUGUUCCAUUAAGUCUCGAGGCUGGAGUGAGGAUUUAUGAGAAUGACACGAGUCAUCAGUCAAAUGGUGCAUUCUCCAAGGCAAUGCACCCACCAGUUAGAGCCCAUUUGCCAACCAAUCAGCACUCUCCUCUCAUGUGAAGUAUAAAUUGUUGUUCCCUUUACAUUUGGUAUUCUUGCAAAUGUUCUGGUGACUGCAAGAUGAAAAACUUCGACAUCUCUUUUUUCCGCACUUACUGUUUAAUUAACAGUAACAAAGGUUUAAAUAAGUAUUGAGCCUUAAUUGAGUUAGUUAAUGAAUCAAUAAUGAAUCCAUAUAGUAAAAGACUGAGCUUUAUUUGCUGUAAAAAUGUAAAAGCUUAAUUGCUGCCUAUGUAAAGAAUGUGCAAUGAAGAUAAAUGUAUUGGCAAGCGAGACCUUCAAGCUCUGCUUAGCCUCAACAUUUGAAACUGUAUGAAUAAGGGAUUGUAUCGAAUCAGAUAAAGGGACAGUAUCAAACAGUUCUAUUGUGUUCCUGUCUAAGAUAAUGAGAGAAGGUGAUGAAAGUAAUUGGGGAUCCAAUUAAUUAAUCUAGCAACCAAAUUGUCAUGUUACAACAGGCCCAAUAAUGACGUGGGGUAAUGGUCACUUUGGGGACAUAAGUAGAGGUUCUGAAGGUCUCCCUUGCUAGCCAAGUACUAAAGACUCCCAAGGUCAAGUUUCAAGGAAAUUACUGUCAGAGAAGGAGCCAGACUCCCGAGGGUGAAUUCCACAAGAAUUACUGUCAAAGAAGGAGCCAGAGAGGGUUACACUUCUACAGACUGAUCACCCACAUGAAGUUGUAAAAGUCAAUGUCUUAAAGUUGUUAA